GCGCCCCGUUUUCUGUGAGGUGGAGGGAAGCGAAGUAAACAACAAAGCCAAGCCGCCUGGCAUGCCGCGCUGCUUCUAUAUCACCCUACACCUCACCUGGGAACUCGUAGGCCAUGUAUUCUGAGCCCCUGCCCUCAUUCCUGCUUGUAUUUGACUAGACACCCCAUGGACGAGAUCUUCCUGUGACACAGCAGCUGCUGGCAACUCUUUCUGCUUUGAGUUGCCAGACACUAGAAAUUGGUUGUUUCCCAUCCACCACAUGGUACCAGUGACAUCAAAUUCAAGUCCUGCAAGAACUUGGUGACUCUAUUCCUCAUGAGACAUUCCUCAUGAGACAUUUAUUUGGCUGAUGAACAAUCCAGGCUGUACAAGCAUAACAAGACUUUGUUUAUUAAUAGUUGGUUUUUGAAAUGUUGGAAAGUGCUUGAAAAGGUGAUGUGCAGUGAAAUAUCACCAAGAAUUGGAAAUAUUUUUGAUUACUGACAGAACUGAGUCUGGAUGUCUUAAAUAUUACUAUCCCCAAGAAAAUAUACUUCUGCACUCUAAUUGUAUAUUAUAUCUUACAACUUAUGUAAGUAGAUACUAGUAUUUACUUUAGCAUAUUAAUAAUUUCAUUAUUUAAUAACACAAGUUGUAAAUAGGUACAUUAAUGAUAGACUUUUCUCAAAGAUCUACAUAAACACCAAUCAGCGCUCUUCAUUGCUUACCAAACAUUAAGUAGGGGAAGUAAUAGUGUAAUAAGGUUUUGAUGUAUGGAUGCAAGGCCUAAUCUGAAAUAAUUGUAAUACCUGCAAAAUCUGAAAGAUAAAACAUACAAAAGAAACAAAAAUGUUCAAAACUUCUAGAUGUGAACAGUGUGGAAAAUGCUUCACCAGAAACAGUCACCUCACCCGGCACAAGCUCAUCCAUACGGGUGAGAAAAAAUUUGAAUGUUUACAAUGUGGUAAGCUAUUUAAUAGAAAAGGUGACCUUACUAGACACAUGUUAACUCACACAGGUAUAAAGAACUUCAAGUGUGAGGAAUGUGGGAAGAUGUUUAAUAGAAAUAGCCACCUCACCAGACACAUGAGAGUGCACCUUGACACAAAGCAGUUCAUGUGUAAGGAUUUUGGGAGAAUGUUUGUUGGAAAUAACAACUCUAGACAAACAGUAACACAGUCUAACGUGAAACAAUUCAAAUGUGAGGUGUGCAACAAAGUUUUUACGAGGAACAGUCACCUUACCCGACACAUGCUGAUUCAUGCUGGUAUAAAGCGAUUUGUAUGUGAAGAAUGUGAUAAGCCAUUCCACAGAAAUAGUGACCUUAACAGACAUAAACUGACACACAAAUAGUGGUACACUGUAGAGGAAUGGCUCUCUGCUACUGAUGAUGCUAAUCUUUUAAGAGGCUGAAUAUUUUCUACCAAGUAUGACUGCUGAAAAAUAUGCUGACAAAUUAUUUGUGUAACUUAUAAUUAAAAAAAAAAAAAAAACAAGAAAUAUAUAUUGAGUACCAUAACAAUGACAUCUGUUACUUUUAUUUUUUUUAAUGCAAUGGACCAGUAUCUAGGUAAUGUUUAAUGACUUGCAACUUUUCUUUGUAUUAGGUUUUCUUUUAACAGUUUAGUGGAUACCUAAAUAACUAUUAAUAAUAACUGAGUGUGUGUGUGUAUAUAUAUAUAUAUAUAUAUAUAUAUAUAUAUAUAUAUAUAUAUAUAUAUAUAUAUAUAUAUAUAUAUAUAUAUAUAUAUAUAUAUAUAUAUAUAUAUAGACACACACACACACACACACACAAUUAUUAACUGGUAUUAACUGUAUUAACACACACACACACACACACACACACACACACACUAUUAUUAACUGGUAUUAAUUGUAUUAACACACACACACACACACACACACACACACACACACACACACACACACACACACACACACACACACACACACACACACACACACACACUAUUAUUAACUGGUGUUAACUGUAUUAACACACACACACACACACACACACACACACACACACACCACUGUCAAUAACUGUAUUUAUUUUCAUAUACAUCAUCUUUUACUGUUAGUGUUAUUUGAUGCCACAUUAAUAGACUGUAGCAAUUCAGUUCAUGAAUGUGCACAAGAUCACAAAUGAUGCCUUGAAUCCUAAACUUUGAUGUUACCCUGUAAGUUAUUAUACUGAUACUUGAUUUGGGCCCUUUGCUGAUGUGUGUCAAUUGUUGUAUACAUUUAUUACUUAAAGAGUACUGCUGGAUUAAUUUACCUUUUUUUAUUAUGAACCAUUAUAAUUUUUGUUUAAGUACUAUCCAAAAGAGUAAUACAUUUGUGUUGUGCAUAUCAACCACUAAUGCACAUACACACAUAAACACACAUGCAGUAUUGGUCUUCUAAGUUGUGCAGUUGCUUGCAAAUAGAAAGGAAAAUGUAGUGGACAUUUACCAGAGUAGUGCAUCUUCAUUACAUACUUGUCUUAAAAGUCUUCUGUCACACAAGCGGCAGGUGUUCCUUUCUAUUUCAUUACUCUUGGUAACCUCAUGGUACAUAGCAUACUAAUGCUGCUUGCCUUUGGGGUUUUUAUUCCACCCUUCUAUUAUUUUCUUGAACUAAUCCUACAUUAGUACAUGAACAUGGGUUAUGUCACAACUUCAAGACAGAAAAGGGCCUGCAUACUGACCCUCAGAGAAAGAGGGAGAAAGGUAAUCUCAGGAAUGCACCAACAGGUAUAAAGCCAAAACAUCUGACAUGAUGGACUGCAUGAUGGAAGCAUGCUCUAUAAUGUUCCCUAGAAGGAAUUUUAAGUAUAUUAUUACUCACUAUGUCUUGUGCUACUUAAACUCAUCCUGUAUUAACUCUGACCCCAAAUAUGACUAAAUAAUAAGCCAUGGCCUCACUACUCAGGCAAUGUCACAGGUCAAGGUGACCAAACAAGUGAGAUGCUGGCUUAUUUUGGUCCAUUUAUACAUUUAUGAUACAUUAUACUGUGGUGCUGAGGAUGUCCAAAAUACUAUUAAUUAAAAAAAUGAAAGCAUAAAUGCAGCCAAUUACCUUGAGGUAUUACAGUCACAUCCAGCACUCUUCUUGACAGAUGCCACUCAUGUACAAUGGAAGACCCUACCAAAGACAAAAAAUUCUCAGUGUGAGAACAUAGUUUUUGAUUGGACAGAAAAACUAGACAGCCCAUGAAAACUGUUGACUACAGACCAUAGCAUUAAUAUAAACAAAUCAAUGAAAAUUAUUUUGAAGGUUAAGUCAUGUUUGGAACAAACUGAGGACUAAUGCCAACAUGUCUUCAAGAAAUCGUUAAGAAAAUUCAAGGUACACAAUAUUCAAAAGUGAACAACAAAGUCCUGAUGAAUGUUUGUAGUUAUGGUCCCAUCUUGUAGGUCAUGACUUCCAAAACCAAUACUAUGUGUGUGUGUGUGUGUGUGUGUGUGAUCAUAAUUCAAGCAAAUUUUGUUAACGAGAUUGCUAUAAGUUAAUUUCCGUACCACCUGGUGCUACCAAUCCUGCUCUGCCCUAGUGGUUUAUGGGCAUGCCUAAUUACUUUUAAAAUGUCUCAUUAUUUUAAAGAUUUUAAGAAGUUCACCUGACAAACAAGCAUUUAUUUUAAGGAAAGUUCUGAAAUGUUAAAUUAUGAUAAAAACAAAAACUAUUCUGCUUCAUGUAUCAGGAAUUAUUAGAUAACAAAAAUGGACUCUUCAGUUUUAUCACAUAGAUGGUUGUCAUUACAGUAGUUAACUUAAGUACACCUAAUGUUUAACAAUACAUUAUCAUCUUAUGCAAAAUCUGCUAUCACUGGCCAUUGGUCAGCUGGUAACAUUGCUGUAUCCAGCAUGAAAUAAGCUUACAUCUUUGCAAUGAACAUUUUCUGCUUCAUAGUGAUUUGAAUCCAUACUAUUAUACAGAGGUUAUUCUUUGUAAAUUGCUAAAAAAUUUGUUAAUCUUAAAAGUUCACAAGUAAUUAAUUACUCAUGCCCAUAAACUCAUGAUACAGGUACAUAACAUAACAUUUUAAAGUUCUAGAAUACUGCAAUAACCACUAUGAAUACUAUUCAACAACACCAGCAUCAUUUAACACUGCCCCAUAGCAGUGGAAACUAUGAACAUGGUAUCACUGAAAAUAUUUUCAUUGAAUACAGGAAUAAACUCAGUUCAGUGACAUAACAUGUAAUGUCGCAUUGCAAGAUUUUUUGCAAUUUGCCGUUUCUCACACAGGUGUAAGGUGACAUCCAAGAAAAUUGGAAAAUAUUUGCAAUGCAAGCACAACUUUAAAAGUAAUGAAUAAAUAGGUCUUUGUGCUUCUAAGGAAUAUGAAUGGUAGAAAUCCAGGAAGCUAGUUUUAUACUGCAACUGCUCUGAAAAGCAUAUUGUGUAGUUCAGACAGAGGUCUCUUCUUGGAAGGAGUGGGCUGUGAGCAGCAUUGCAGAGCCUCAUACCUGACAUUAAAAGUUUUUGUUGCAAUAACUUUUACUAGACUCAUUAGAUUAAGCAGAUUUCUUAGUUUAACCUAAUACAAUGACAGAUAGAGUUUAACUGAUCUGUAGGGUAUUGUGCUGAUAAGGUUGGUUUAAGACUAAAAUUCUGUUAAGUGACACUUGCAUGUUCCAGGUAGGAUUACACGUAUGUAUAUUCACAUAGAUGAACAAUAAAUUGUAAUGAUUUCUAUCAGCCACAUCAAAGAUAUUAACACUUCAGGGUACAGGACCCAGGACAAGAACUACCCAAGUGCUGGGUUUCCUUGCAUGAAGUAAACACUGUAAGUAGAGUUAGUCUAUUUUCUCUCCUUUUUAUUAAUGGAAAAUUUUUCUACUGCCACCACCAGGAACUGCCUUGCGGAAGGAGUUUUUAGAAAUUUUCAUACCUACAUAUGUUAUGAUACCAGUCUCUUGCAGCACCAUGUCUCAAGGUUGAGUGAUUGGAUCAUAAAUAUGUACAAUAAUAAAAGAGGCAGUCCAAAUA